GAACCUGAAACCCUGUACGUACAAGCAGUAGGAGCGAGGGCAACCUUGUGACUGCGUACCUUUUGUAUAAUGGGUCAGCGACUUAUAUUUUGUAGCGAGGUUAACUGAAUAAGGGAGCCGAAGGGAAACCGAGUCUUAACUGGGCGUUGAGUUGCAAGGUAUAGACCCGAAACCCGGUGAUCUAGCCAUGGGCAGGUUGAAGGUUGGGUAACACUAACUGGAGGACCGAACCGACUAAUGUUGAAAAAUUAGCGGAUGACUUGUGGCUGGGGGUGAAAGGCCAAUCAAACCGGGAGAUAGCUGGUUCUCCCCGAAAUCUAUUUAGGUAGAGCCUUGAGCGGACACCUUCGGGGGUAGAGCACUGUUUCGGCUAGGGGUCCAUCCCGGAUUACCAACCCGAUGCAAACUGCGAAUACCGAAGAGUGAUACUCAGGAGACACACGGCGGGUGCUAACGUUCGUCGUGGAGAGGGAAACAACCCAGACCGCCAGCUAAGGUCCCAAAGUCUAUAUUAAGUGGGAAACGAAGUGGGAAGGCUUAGACAGCUAGGAUGUUGGCUUAGAAGCAGCCAUCAUUUAAAGAAAGCGUAAUAGCUCACUAGUCGAGUCGGCCUGCGCGGAAGAUGUAACGGGGCUCAAAUAUAGCACCGAAGCUGCGGCAUCAGAAUUUAUUCUGUUGGGUAGGGGAGCGUUGUGUAAGCGGAUGAAGGUGGCUCGAGAGGGUUGCUGGACGUAUCACAAGUGCGAAUGCUGACAUAAGUAACGAUAAAACGAGUGAAAAACUCGUUCGCCGGAAGACCAAGGGUUCCUGUCCAACGUUAAUCGGGGCAGGGUGAGUCGGCCCCUAAGGCGAGGCUGAAAAGCGUAGUCGAUGGGAAACGGGUUAAUAUUCCCGUACUUGGAUAAACUGCGAUGUGGGGACGGAGAAGGUUAGGUUAGCAGACUGUUGGAUGUCUGUUUAAGGUGGUAGGUGGAAGACUUAGGCAAAUCCGGGUCUUUAUAAACACUGAGAGCUGAUGACGAGGUCUUAAGGGACUGAAGUAACUGAUACCCUGCUUCCAGGAAAAGCCACUAAGCUUCAGGUUUAUCUAAACCGUACUGAAAACCGACACAGGUGGUCAGGUAGAGAAUACUCAGGCGCUUGAGAGAACUCGGGUGAAGGAACUAGGCAAAAUAGCACCGUAACUUCGGGAGAAGGUGCGCUUACAGUAAUUGUAGUCCCUUGCGGAUGAAGGUGAAGUAAGUCGAAGAUACCAGCUGGCUGCAACUGUUUAUUAAAAACACAGCACUCUGCAAACACGAAAGUGGACGUAUAGGGUGUGAUGCCUGCCCGGUGCUGGAAGGUUAAUUGAUGGUGUUAUCGAAAGAGAAGCUCCUGAUCGAAGCCCCAGUAAACGGCGGCCGUAACUAUAACGGUCCUAAGGUAGCGAAAUUCCUUGUCGGGUAAGUUCCGACCUGCACGAAUGGCAUAAUGAUGGCCAGGCUGUCUCCACCCGAGACUCAGUGAAAUUGAAAUCGCCGUGAAGAUGCGGUGUACCCGCGGCUAGACGGAAAGACCCCGUGAACCUUUACUAUAGCUUGACACUGAACAUUGAAUUUUGAUGUGUAGGAUAGGUGGGAGCCUUUGAAGCAGUGACGCCAGUCAUUGUGGAGGCGACCUUGAAAUACCACCCUUUAACGUUUGAUGUUCUAACGAAGUGCCUGAAACGGGUACUCGGACAGUGUCUGGUGGGUAGUUUGACUGGGGCGGUCUCCUCCCAAAGCGUAACGGAGGAGCACGAAGGUUUGCUAAUGACGGUCGGACAUCGUCAGGUUAGUGCAAUGGUAUAAGCAAGCUUAACUGCGAGACAGACAAGUCGAGCAGGUGCGAAAGCAGGUCAUAGUGAUCCGGUGGUUCUGAAUGGAAGGGCCAUCGCUCAACGGAUAAAAGGUACUCCGGGGAUAACAGGCUGAUACCGCCCAAGAGUUCAUAUCGACGGCGGUGUUUGGCACCUCGAUGUCGGCUCAUCACAUCCUGGGGCUGAAGUAGGUCCCAAGGGUAUGGCUGUUCGCCAUUUAAAGUGGUACGCGAGCUGGGUUUAGAACGUCGUGAGACAGUUCGGUCCCUAUCUGCCGUGGGCGUUGGAUGAUUGAUUGGGGCUGCUCCUAGUACGAGAGGACCGGAGUGGACGCAUCACUGGUGUUCCAGUUGUCUCGCCAGAGGCAUUGCUGGGUAGCUAAAUGCGGAAGAGAUAAGUGCUGAAAGCAUCUAAGCACGAAACUUGCCAAGAGAUGAGUCAUCCCUGACUUUAAGUCAGUAAGGGUUGUUGUAGACUACGACGUAGAUAGGUUGGGUGUGUAAGUGUAGUGAUACAUUGAGCUAACCAAUACUAAUUGCCCGAGAGGCUUAACUAU
rnacentral:rRNA from 1 species